ACCGCCCACUUCUACAGCUGAUUGAAGUAAACUGCUGUGAAUGCAUUGAUGAGUAAAAUACUAUUUUUUGGUUGUUGAAGAAAAACUCAAAAGUGUGUGAAAUGCAUUAAAUGUGCGUAUUUUUUGUUAUUAGCCAGAAGAGAAACAAUGAGGCAUUAUCUUGUAGAGAAUAAAAAGACAUGGAAGGGUUAACCCCAAAACGUGCAGUAGUGUGUGGUCGUGUUCAGUAUGGAAUAAACGAUCUGAAAAGGAGUGAAACAGUGCGCUAACGUCCUGAAUGUGUCCACUAAGAACAGAUAUUUUGUUAUCGGUUGCAAACGGAACGAAAUGGGGAGGGACCUACCUGAAUUUGUCCAAUAUAAACUAUAGUUUGCGUUUGGCGUAAACGCAACAGAAUCGGUAUAAUGAUUACACCCCAGCACAAUCCCCAGUAUAUUUGUUAUGAUGCGAAGAAAGUACAACAUUUCGACAGUGCCCUGUCUAACCCGGGGCUGCAUGGCCAGUUUGUGGAGCUGAACGAGGCCUACAGGGUGCUGAGUAAGGAGGUGUCCCGGAGAGAGUACGACCUGCAGCUACGGCACCCUUUUACCGGGGGACAGUCCUUCAGACCCACCUCCACACAACCCCAGAGAGUAUGCGCUACCAGGAUCAGUUCAAACCCUGUCAACCUGAGGAGUGGGGGAGGAAGAUGAACUUUAGAAUAAUUAGCUACUGUAUGCUCAUCAUGUGACUGAGCUUCUCUUCAGGUCUCUCUCUUCCGGUCACACAGACAGUUAGAGUCUGUCCAUAACAACCAGACGGACGAGAAGAACAGGUCAUCAAGCAGAUCUACAAUGAGGGCACGGUGUGGGAAAGAAGUCAUAAACAUAUUGCAUGGAUUAUAACUUAUUACGUCUUUUAUUACACUGUUCUAGUUAGGUUAGUAGUAAUAAUCCACAUUGCAUGGAAUAUGUAUUGACAUGAUUUGUUGGUGUGAAAUACCUGAGGCUGGAACUGAUUUAUAUAUUUCUUCAUUUUGAUUCACAGAGUGAACGGGUUUAAGAAGCAGACAGAGAUUCUCAGACAGAAUUCUCAGGAGAAAUACAAAAUCACUUGCAACAAGUAGGAGUUUAGUAGAAUACGAGCACAUCGUAAAACAAGGGGGAUUGAUUUGGCCGAACACCUCGGAAGAGGAAUGGAGUCAUUCAGGAAGGGGAGUGAACGGUUGAUUGAGCUAGGAGUAGUUAACUUUUUCAGUGAUUUGUGGCAGACGUUGAUGAUGUGCACAGUUCUCGUUUGCUUGGACCUUGGAUACUAAGCCAAGGAGUUAAAAAACAAGUGUGUAAUACCUGGGUGAAACGGAGACAGUAAUGGGGUACAUGUCUUUGUCACAGUAAAGCCUCGCCCCACAGCCAUUCUAGGUUUCUCCAGGAGGAGAAUACGUUGUGGAGGUUUGGUCUGGUAUCACAAGACUAACAGCAGUAGGUCAUUAGCAGCACAUCUCUUCCGCUAUUGGAUGGAACCAAGACUCCUGUUAGCCAGUUGCGAAUUGGUUUGCAUACCCGUGACAUGCUGUUUCCCCCACGGCCGUUCAGAGGCAGUCUCAACAAGACUGUGUGAAUUUGCCCACUGGAGAUGGGGCAUUCCAGAUAUUGUAAACUUCAGUGUUCCGUAAUGUAAGUCUAUGGUUCCGUAAUGUAAGCCUAUGGUUCCGUAAUGUAAGUCUAUGGUUCCGUAAUGUAAGUCUAUGGUUCCAUAAUGUAAGUCUAUGGUUCCGUAAUGUAAGUCUAUGGUUCCGUAAUGUAA